rnacentral:rRNA from 1 species
AUGCAAGUCGAGCGGAAACGAUGGGAGCUUGCUCCCAGGCGUCGAGCGGCGGACGGGUGAGUAAUGCAUAGGAAUCUGCCCGAUAGUGGGGGAUAACCUGGGGAAACCCAGGCUAAUACCGCAUACGUCCUACGGGAGAAAGCAGGGGCUCUUCGGACCUUGCGCUAUCGGAUGAGCCUAUGUCGGAUUAGCUGGUUGGUGAGGUAAUGGCUCACCAAGGCGACGAUCCGUAGCUGGUCUGAGAGGAUGAUCAGCCACAUCGGGACUGAGACACGGCCCGAACUCCUACGGGAGGCAGCAGUGGGGAAUAUUGGACAAUGGGCGAAAGCCUGAUCCAGCCAUGCCGCGUGUGUGAAGAAGGCCCUCGGGUUGUAAAGCACUUUCAGUGGGGAAGAAAGCCUUGGGGCUAAUACCCUCGAGGAAGGACAUCACCCACAGAAGAAGCACCGGCUAACUCCGUGCCAGCAGCCGCGGUAAUACGGAGGGUGCGAGCGUUAAUCGGAAUUACUGGGCGUAAAGCGCGCGUAGGUGGCUUGAUAAGCCGGUUGUGAAAGCCCCGGGCUCAACCUGGGAACGGCAUCCGGAACUGUCAGGCUAGAGUGCAGGAGAGGAAGGUAGAAUUCCCGGUGUAGCGGUGAAAUGCUUAAAGAUCGGGAGGAAUACCAGUGGCGAAGGCGGCCUUCUGGACUGACACUGACACUGAUGUGCGAACGCGUGGGUAGCAAACAGGAUUAGAUACCCUGGUAGUCCCUGCCGUAAACGAUGUCUACUAGCCGUUGGGAGCCUUGAUUCUUACUGGCGCAGUUCACCCGAUAAGACUAUCGCCCGGAGAGUCCCCCCACAUGUCAAAUCUAACUUCAUUGAUCGGGGCCUCACCCCA